rnacentral:rRNA from 1 species
UACGUAGGGGGGCAAGCGUUGUCCGGAAUCAUUGGGCGUAAAGAGCGUGUAGGCGGCCAGAUAAGUCCGCUGUGAAAACUCGAGGCUCAACUUCGAGCUGUCGGCGGAAACUAUCUGGCUAGAGUCCGGAAGAGGAGAGUGGAAUUCCUGGUGUAGCGGUGAAAUGCGCAGAUAUCAGGAAGAACACCCGUGGCGAAAGCAGCUCUCUGGGACGGUACUGACGCUGAGACGCGAAAGCGUGGGGAGCGAACAGG